rnacentral:lncRNA from 1 species
UCCCCAAUUGCAUGGUAGCUUCAUCUUUAAUUAACCUUUGACAUAUGAUCUUCUUCACCAUGAAAGUAAUGCUACUAUAAUUGUAGCAAAUGCAACAGGAACCAACAUCAGACGCCGCUGUUUCACAGUAAAAGCACCAGAGUCAUCGUCUCCUCCUGGAACUUCAUCGCUGUCAGUAGAUUUCUUCUUAGACGGUGUCUUAGCCUUUUCAGGCGCUGGAGCCGGUGCAGGAGGCUUAGCGACAAAGAAGUCCCGAGGAAGAAGCACCUUGUCGACUUGGUAGACCGCGAGCUGGUGAUCGGUGUAAACAGUUCCACCAACUGUGACAUUAACAAUACCGGUUGUUAUAUUCACU